rnacentral:rRNA from 1 species
UCGGGUGAGUAAUGCGUGACCAACCUGCCCCAUGCUCCAGAAUAGCUCUUGGAAACGGGUGGUAAUGCUGGAUGCUCCAACUUGACGCAUGUCUUGUUGGGAAAGUGUUUAGUGGCAUGGGAUGGGGUCGCGUCCUAUCAGCUUGUAGGCGGGGUAAUGGCCCACCUAGGCUUCGACGGGUAGCCGGCCUGAGAGGGCGGACGGCCACAUUGGGACUGAGAUACGGCCCAGACUCCUACGGGAGGCAGCAGCU